CGCAGCGAGUCAGUGAGCGAGGAAGCGGCCGCAUAACUUCGUAUAGCAUACAUUAUACGAAGUUAUCAGUCGACGGUACCGGACAUAUGCCCGGGAAUUCGGCCAUUACGGCCGGGGGGCGUAAAGCGUCUGUAGGUUGUUUAAAAAGUCAACUGUCAAAAACUAAAGCUCAACUUUAGGCAGGCAGUUGAAACUUUUAGACUAGAGUAUGGCAGAGGUAGAGGGAAUUACUGGUGUAACGGUGAAAUGUGCAGAUAUCAGUAAGAACACCAAUGGCGAAAGCACUCUACUGGACCAAAACUGACACUCAGAGACGAAAGCUAGGGGAGCGAAUAGGAUUAGAUACCCUAGUAGUCCUAGCUGUAAACGAUGGAAACUAAAUAUUGCGUUUUUAAAAUGCAGUAUUGUAGCUAACGCGUUAAGUUUCCCGCCUGGGGAGUAUGCUCGCAAGAGUGAAACUCAAAGAAAUUGACGGGGGCCCGCACAAGCGGUGGAGCAUGUGGUUUAAUUCGAUGCAACGCGAAGAACCUUACCGGGGUUUGACAUACUAUGCAUUUUUUGGAGACGAAAAAGUUUAAACAUAGAUACAGGUGGUGCAUGGCUGUCGUCAGCUCGUGUCGUGAGACGUAGGGUUAAGUCCUGUAACGAGCGCAACCCUUAUUGUUAGUUGCUUUUAGGAAACUAGCAAGACUGCCAGUGAUAAGCUGGAGGAAGGUGAGGAUGACGUCAAGUCAGCAUGCCCCUUAAAUCCCGGGCUACACACGUGCUACAACGGUUAAGACAAAGAGAUGCUAACUUGUGAAAGUACAGCGAACC
rnacentral:rRNA from 1 species